CACGUAGGGCGCAAGCGUUGUCCGGAAUUAUUGGGCGUAAAGAGCUCGUAGGCGGUCUGUUGCGUCCGCUGUGAAAACUCGGGGCUUAACCCCGAGCCUGCAGUGGAUACGGGCAGACUAGAGGUAGGUAGGGGAGAAUGGAAUUCCCGGUGUAGCGGUGAAAUGCGCAGAUAUCGGGAGGAACACCGGUGGCGAAGGCGGCUCGCUGGGCCGGCCCUGACGCUGAGACGCGAAGGCGUGGGGAGCGAACGGG
rnacentral:rRNA from 1 species